rnacentral:tRNA from 1 species
GGAGAGGUACCGAAGCGGUCAUAACGGGGCGGUCUUGAAAACCGUUUGGGUCUUUGGCCCGCGUGGGUUCGAAUCCCACCCUCUCCG